AAGAGUAUAGCUCAGUGGUAGAGCACAUGCUUAGCAUGCAGGAGGCCCUGGGUUCAAGCCCCCAGUACCUUCA
rnacentral:tRNA from 1 species